AAACCAGCACCUCAAGUGGUCAGGAUGAUUAUUGGGCCUAAAGCAUCCGUAGCCGGCUCUGUAAGUUUUCGGUUAAAUCUGUACGCUCAACGUACAGGCUGCCGGAAAUACUGCAGAGCUAGGGAGUGGGAGAGGUAGACGGUACUCGGGAGGAAGGGGUAAAAUCCUUUGAUCUCUCGAUGACCACCUGUGGCGAAGGCGGUCUACCAGAACACGUCCGACGGUGAGGGAUGAAGGCUGGGGGAGCAAACCGGAUUAGAAACCCGGGUAGUCC
rnacentral:rRNA from 1 species